rnacentral:rRNA from 1 species
UACUCCUACGGAGGCAGCAGUAGGGAAUCUUCCACAAUGGGCGCAAGCCUGAUGGAGCAACACCGCGUGAGUGAAGAAGGGUUUCGGCUCGUAAAGCUCUGUUGUUAAAGAAGAACAUAUCUGAGAGUAACUGUUCAGGUAUUGACGGUAUUUAACCAGAAAGCCACGGCUAACUACGUGCCAGCAGCCGCGGUAAUAC